GACGAACGCUGGCGGCGUGCUUAACACAUGCAAGUCGAACGAAGUGGCGAACGGGUGAGUAACGCGUAAUCAACCUGCCCUUCGGGGGGGGACACCAGUUGGAAACGACUACUAUUACCUCAAACGAAGGGCGGGGUUUGCGUCGGAUUAGCUAGUUGGAGGGGUAACGGCCCACCCAGGCGAUGAUCAUUAGCCGGUCUGAGAGGAUGAACGGCCACAUUGGGACUGAGACACGGCCCAGACUCCUACGGGAGGCAGCAGUGGGGAAUCUUCCGCAAUGGACGAAAGGCUGACGGAGCAACGCCGCGUGAGUGAUGACGGCCUUCGGGUUGUAAAGCUCUGUUAAUCGGGACGCGGUACCGGAAUAGAAAGCCACGGCUAACUACGUGCCAGCAGCCGCGGUAAUAC
rnacentral:rRNA from 1 species